CGACCUUGAAAUACCACCCUUUAAUGUUUGAUGUUCUAACGUGGACCCGUGAUCCGGGUUGCGGACAGUGUCUGGUGGGUAGUUUGACUGGGGCGGUCUCCUCCUAAAGAGUAACGGAGGAGCACGAAGGUUGGCUAAUCCUGGUCGGACAUCAGGAGGUUAGUGCAAUGGCAUAAGCCAGCUUGACUGCGAGCGUGACGGCGCGAGCAGGUGCGAAAGCAGGUCAUAGUGAUCCGGUGGUUCUGAAUGGAAGGGCCAUCGCUCAACGGAUAAAAGGUACUCCGGGGAUAACAGGCUGAUACCGCCCAAGAGUUCAUAUCGACGGCGGUGUUUGGCACCUCGAUGUCGGCUCAUCACAUCCUGGGGCUGAAGUAGGUCCCAAGGGUAUGGCUGUUCGCCAUUUAAAGUGGUACGCGAGCUGGGUUUAGAACGUCGUGAGACAGUUCGGUCCCUAUCUGCCGUGGGCGCUGGAGAACUGAGGGGGGCUGCUCCUAGUACGAGAGGACCGGAGUGGACGCAUCACUGGUGUUCGGGUUGUCAUGCCAAUGGCACUGCCCGGUAGCUAAAUGCGGAAGAGAUAAGUGCUGAAAGCAUCUAAGCACGAAACUUGCCCCGAGAUGAGUUCUCCCUGACCCUUUAAGGGUCCUGAAGGAACGUUGAAGACGACGACGUUGAUAGGCCGGGUGUGUAAGCGCAGCGAUGCGUUGAGCUAACCGGUACUAAUGAAC
rnacentral:rRNA from 1 species